rnacentral:rRNA from 1 species
AUUGAACGCUGGCGGCAGGCCUAACACAUGCAAGUCGAACGAGAGGCGGACGGGUGAGUGAUGUCUGGGAAACUGCCCGAUGGAGGGGGAUAACUACUGGAAACGGUGGCUAAUACCGCCGACCAUCGGAUGUGCCCAGAUGGGAGUAGCUUGUAGGUGAGGUAACGGCUCACCUAGGGGAAGAAUCCUAGCUGGUCUGAGAGUAGGACCAGCCACACUGGAACUGAGCCACGGUCCAGACUCCUACGGGAGGCAGCAGUGGGGAAUAUUGCACAAUGGGCGCAAUCCUGAUGCAGCCAUGCCGCGUGGAUGAAGCAGGCCUUCGGGUUGUAAAGGACUUUCAGCUGGGAGGCGUUACCCGCAGAAGAAGCACCGGCUAACUCCGUGCCAGCAGCCGCGGUAAUUC